rnacentral:rRNA from 1 species
UACGUAGGGACCAAGCGUUGUUCGGAUUUACUGGGCGUAAAGGGCGCGUAGGCGGCUUAACAAGUCACUUGUGAAAUCUCCGGGCUUAACUCGGAACGGCCAAGUGAAACUGUCAAGCUAGAGUGCAGAAGGGGCAAUCGGAAUUCUUGGUGUAGCGGUGAAAUGCGUAGAUAUCAGGAGGAACACCGAUGGCGAAGGCAGGUCUCUGGGCCACUACUGACGCUGAGAAGCGAAAGCAUGGGGAGCGAACAGG